GUUUAAGUAGUUUAUAAAAAAUAUUGAUUUGUGGUGUCAAAGAUAUAAUACAUAUUAUUUUAAAUC
rnacentral:tRNA from 1 species